GAUGAACGCUGGCGGCGUGCCUAAUACAUGCAAGUCGAGCGGACGGACGAGAAGCUUUCUUCUCUGAUGUUAGCGGCGGACGGGUGAGUAACACGUGGAUAACCUACCUAUAAGACUGGGAUAACUUCGGGAAACCGGAGCUAAUACCGGAUAAUAUUUUGAACCGCAUGGUUCAAAAGUGAAAGACGGUCUUGCUGUCACUUAUAGAUGGAUCCGCGCUGCAUUAGCUAGUUGGUAAGGUAACGGCUUACCAAGGCAACGAUGCAUAGCCGACCUGAGAGGGUGAUCGGCCACACUGGAACUGAGACACGGUCCAGACUCCUACGGGAGGCAGCAGUAGGGAAUCUUCCGCAAUGGGCGAAAGCCUGACGGAGCAACGCCGCGUGAGUGAUGAAGGUCUUCGGAUCGUAAAACUCUGUUAUUAGGGAAGAACAUAUGUGUAAGUAACUGUGCACAUCUUGACGGUACCUAAUCAGAAAGCCACGGCUAACUACGUG
rnacentral:rRNA from 1 species